rnacentral:rRNA from 1 species
UACGUAGGGGCCGAGCGUUGUCCGGAUUCAUUGGGCGUAAAGAGCGUGUAGGCGGCCGCUUAAGUCCUGCGUGAAAUCUCGGAGCUCAACUCCGAGCGGUCGUGGGAAACUGGGCGGCUAGAGUGCGGGAGAGGAGAGUGGAAUUCCUGGUGUAGCGGUGGAAUGCGCAGAUAUCAGGAAGAACACCCGUGGCGAAGGCGGCUCUCUGGGACGGUACUGACGCUGAGACGCGAAAGCGUGGGGAGCGAACAGG